AAGGGGAUCUUGGUGGAAGUUUAGCCAGCAUUCGGCAGGGUCCUGAUGAGCUUUACCAGAACUUUGUGGAUAGGCUAUUAAUAGCAGCCAGUAGAAUUCUUGGAGACUCUGACACGGGAAGUCCUUUCAUUAUGCAAUUGGCUUAUGAGAAUGCUAACACAGUGUGCCGUGCCGCUAUCCAACUGCACAAAGGACAGACAGAUUUAGCGGGAUAUAUCCAUCUUUGUGCAGAGAUUGGGCUGUCAUAUAAUCAGGGUUUGGCUUUCACCGCCACUUUGCAAGAAACCACCGUACAAGCAAUGCUUUCACAGAAACGAGGGAAUUAUGCAUGUUUUAAGUGUGGAAGUUUGGGUCAUUUUAAAAAUGACUGUCCUAAGAAUAAAGUGCUGAGAGUGGGCAAGCAGGCCAUGCUCCAGGAGUUUGUCCUCAAUGCAGGAAGGGCAACCAUUGGGCUAGGGUGUGUAAAUCCAAGUCAGACAUUCCGGGCCACCUGUUGCCGGGAAACGAGAGGAGGGGCCAUCCCUAGGCCCUGAAAUACCCUCAGCAAGCAGCUUAUGGGGACAUGAAGCUGUUGCCCAGCCAAAGAAAUCCAUUUUUGAACUUGUCAGGGCAACUCCAGGAAGUGCAGGAUUGGACCUCUGUUCCACCACCCACACAGUAUUAACCCCAGAAAUGGGAGUUCAAACUCUGCCUAUAGGAGUUUUUGGACCUCUACCUGCAGAAACUUAGGGAUUUCUUUUAGGACGAAGCAGUUCUAUUGUAAAAGGUCUGCAGAUUUAUCCAGGUGUUAUAGAUAAUGAUUAUGGGGGAGAAAUUAAAAUCAUGGCUGCUUUCCCUCAUGGUGUUAUAACUAUACCUACUAAUCAAAGAAUUGCUCAACUUGUCUUAGUUCCUUUGCAUCCGCUACCGUCCAGAUUUGUUAAGAAUGAGAGAGGACAAGGUGGCUUUGGGUCCUCUGUUGUGUAUUGAGUUCAAUCUAUUACUAAUCAAAGACCUAACCUUAAAUUGACAAUUGAAGGAAAAGGCUUUGAAGGAUUAAUAGAUACUGGAACUGACAUAACAAUUAUUAUAGGACAAGAUUGGCCUUCAACUUGGCCUUUGUCUGAUACACUUACUCACCUUCAAGGAAUUGUUUAUGCCAAUAACCCAAAACAAAGGUUCAAAUUGCUAACCCGGAGAGAUGAGGAAGGCAAUUCAGGACAAAUUCAGCUGUAUGUUAUGUCAAAUUUGCCUGUUACACUAUGGGGAAGAGAACUCUUGCCACAGAUGGGCAUUAUAAUGUGCAGUCCUAAUGAGGCAGUGACUAAGCAGAUGCUAAGACAAGGAUUUUUGCCAGAUCAUGGGCUAGGAAAGAAAGGACAAGGUAUUAAGACUUUUGAAGGUCCUGAACCUCACUCUAACACAAGAGGUUUGGAGUAUUUUCAGUAAUGGCCACUAUCUUGCCUGCAUCCCAUGCUGAUAAAAUUCAAUGGCUUAAUGAUAUUCCAGUGUGGGUUGAUCAGUGGUCUUUGCCUAAAGAGAAAAUAGAAGCUGCCUCUUCGCUAGUGCAGGAAAAAUUAGAGGCAGGACAUUUAGUAGAAUCUCAGUCUUCUUGGAAUACUCCAAUUUUUGUUAUCAAGAAAAAAUCUGGUAAAUUGAGAUUAUUACAAGAUCUAAGAAAGGUUAAAGAAACCAUGAUACCUAUGGGAGCUUUACAACCUGAGCUUCCGUCUCUGGUAGCCAUUCCUAAAGGAUAUUAUAAAAUUGUGGUAGAUCUGAAGGAUUGUUUCUUUACUAUUCCUUUAUAUCCUGAGGAUUGUGAAAGAUUUGCUUUCAGUGUUCCUUCUAUAAAUUUUAAAGAACCUAUGAAGAGAUAUCAGUGGACAGUUCUCCCACAGGGUAUGGCUAAUAGUCCUACCUUAUGUCAAAAGUUUAUGGCACAAGCCAUUCAGCCUGUCAGACAACAAUGGCCUAUGAUUUACAUCAUUCAUUACACAGAUGAUGUUUUGAUGGCAAAAGACCCCCAGGAUUUGCUUUUGUGUUACAGAGAUUUACGAAAGGCCUUAGCUAAUAAAGGACUACAAAUAGCUCCUGAGAAGAUAUAAACUCAGGAUCCUUAUAAUUAUUUGGGUUUUAGACUUACAAAUCAAGCUGUUUUCCCCCAGACGAUAGUUAUUCCCAGGGACGACUUAAAAACUUUAAAUGGUUUUCAAAAAUUGUUAGGUGAUAUUAAUUGGCUUUGCCCCUAUUUAAAGCUUACUACAGGGGAAUUGAAACUUUUAGUUGAUAUUCUUAAAGGGAGUUCUGAUCCUACCUCCCCUAGAUCUUUAACCUCAGAAGGAUUGCUGGCCUUACAACAAGUGGAAAGAGCUAUUGAAGAGCAAUUUGUCACUUAUAUAGAUUACUCUUUGCCUUUACAUCUGUUAAUUUUUAAUACGAUUCAUAUGCCUACAGGAUUGUUGUGGCAAAGGGCUCCUUUAAUGUGGAUAUAUUUGAGGAUAUCUCCUAAACGUAAUAUCCUGCCAUAUUAUGAAACAGUAUCUCAGAUGAUCAUACUUGGAAGGAAGCAGGCACUAACUUAUUUUGGAAAAGAGCCAGAUAUCAUUGUUCAGCCUUAUAGUGUAGAUCAAGAUAGUUGGCUGAAGCAACACAGUAUGGAUUGGUUGGUUGCUCAAAUAGGACUUAUAGGAACUAUAGAUAAUCAUUAUCCUCAAGAUAGGUUGAUAAAAUUUUUAAAUGUACCUGAGGUGAUAUUUCCUAAUAUAACUUCUUUACAGCCUUUGUAUAACGCUCUUUUGAUUUUUACUGACAGCUCCUCUAAAGGGCGAGCUGGAUAUCUUAUGAAUAAUCAACAAGUAGUCAUAGAGACUCCUGGCCUCUCAGCUCAGUUAGCAGAGUUGACAGCAGUACUAAAUGUUUUUCAGUCUGUAAAUGAUGUUUUUAAUAUUUUUACUGAUAGUUUAUAUGUUGCACAAUCGAUUCCCUUCUUGGAGACUUGUGGUACAUUUAACUUUAAUACACCAGCAGGAUCGCUGUUUUCACAAUUGCAAAACAUCAUUCUUGCCCGAAAACAUCCGUUUUAUAUUGGUAAUAUACGAGCUCAUUCUGGUCUUCCUGGACCUUUAACUGCAGGCAAUGAUUGCAUCAACAGAGCUCUAAUAGGAGAGGCCUUAAUUUCAGAUCCUGUUGCUUUGGCUAGAUGUGAUCAUGAUAAAUUUCAUCUCUCUAGCCAUACCUUAAGGCUCUGACACAAGAUCACUAAAGAACAAGCAAGAAUGAUUGUAAAACAAUGUCCUAAAUGUAUUACAUUAUCUCCAGUGCUGCAUUUAGGAGUUAAUCCAUGAGGUCUUAUGCCUAAUCAUAUUUGGCAAAUGGAUGUAACUCAUUAUGCGGAAUUUGGAAAAUUAAAAUAUAUACAUGUUUGUGC
rnacentral:lncRNA from 1 species